AUUGAACGCUGGCGGCGUGCCUAACACAUGCAAGUCGAGCGGUAACAGGUGUAGCAAUACAUGCUGACGAGCGGCGGACGGGUGAGUAACGCUUGGGAAUCUGCCUAUUAGUGGGGGACAACCCGGGGAAACUCGGGCUAAUACCGCAUACGCUCUACGGAGGAAAGCCGGGGACCGCAAGGCCUGGCGCUAAUAGAUGAGCCCAAGUCGGAUUAGCUAGUUGGUAGGGUAAUGGCCUACCAAGGCGACGAUCCGUAACUGGUCUGAGAGGACGACCAGUCACACCGGAACUGAGACACGGUCCGGACUCCUACGGGAGGCAGCAGUGGGGAAUAUUGCGCAAUGGGCGAAAGCCUGACGCAGCCAUGCCGCGUGUGUGAAGAAGGCCUC
rnacentral:rRNA from 1 species